GCCCCGGCUCCCCGCGCCCCCGAUCGGGGCCGCCGCUAGUAGUGGCGGCGGCGGAGGCGGGGGCAGCGGC
rfam:Homo sapiens chromosome 9, GRCh38 reference primary assembly.